rfam:Rhizobium sp. PDO1-076 strain PDO-076 ctg21, whole genome shotgun sequence.
GAGAGGCUAGCUCAGCUGGUAGAGCAGCGCACUUUUAAUGCGCGGGUCGUGGGUUCGAGUCCCACGCCUCUCA